rnacentral:lncRNA from 1 species
UCUCAAGAAACCUAUUAAAAACACCCAAACAUUUCCAACGUUUCAACUAGGUAUUCACAUAACUGGUGGCAUGUCAUGUCUGUUACUUAGUAGGAGGUUCUCUCAUAAGUAAAGUACAAGAAAUAUAUGAUAAUCAAGUAAGUAGUAUCUAUCUUUACCUUGCAUUUUUAUACAAUCAUUUGGACUUCUUCUGAAGUUUGCGCGAUUUCAAUGUUCAGGCAAUGUGGUACCAAGAGUGGCUUUUUGACAUUACAACAAUUUGGGCGUUGAUUAAAGUUGGCAACAUUUCCCGGUCAGUGCCACUCUCUUUUCUGACAUUUUGUUCAAAUGAAAGUUUUGUUUCUUGAUUUAUCAUUUGACGCAUCUAAUUAUGACAAACAUGUAAUAAUCAUAAAAUGAGCAAGAAGAGACAAAAGUUGAUGCAGAAGGCGAUUUAGUUCGUUCUUGUUACCCAUGAGUGAUAACUAUUGGGACUAUUUGAGUUUUUUAUAUAUCAUAAGAUCGGCUUUCUUAGUUUACGUCAGCCUGCUGAAGCUGUUUAUGAAUAUGGAAACUACAAAAGAGCUCUAGAACUGCUCGGUCCAAAUUAACUUUGACGCAGCUGACCAUAAGGUAACACAUGAUCUUGGAUUGAUAAGAUAUAUAUCAUUUAUCAAAUCAUUACAUAUUGAACAAAACAAUGAUUUGGCCUUUUUCUUGGGCUCAGAAUAGGUGAUUGAGGCAUCAGAUCUACAGUUAGAUGUUUUUAAUGAAAUCUGGUACACAUUACUAUUACUCACCGGCCAAUCUUCCACUGGUAAGCUCCCAAAUACACUAUUCUUUAGCUUGGUUUUUCAUGUACGCAGCUAACUCUGCGUUUUGAACACUGAAUUUGCAGCGAUUAAAGUACUGGAGAGGAGGAUAUAUAUAGCAGAGAGAUGGUGCUCCUUUCUUGUGGCGUUUGCUGGUAUUCUUUUAAGUCACUUUAUAUGCGCACAACUGUUGAUUAUCGGUGGAAAGAUAGAUGCAUCUUAUUUACUUAGUUUAUGCUAAGUUGAUGUUAUGUGGCAGGAGAAGAGUUACAUCAAGUAAGGGCAUAUUAUACAGAAGCUGUUGUAACUGCAUGUAAGAAAACAAAGGUGUUGGAAUCUUCAUAUUCAAGUUUGCUUGAUUACACAAAAAAAAAACAGCAACCAUCUGGUUAUAUUCUUUAGACAUGCUUUUAACGCUUUGUUGAAUAUAGUUUGGAUCGUUAUGGGCAUUGUAAAAGUUGACCUUGAACAUUCUAUAUCAACUUGCCGCUUGAAUAUAUAGACAUUUUAGUAAGAUCAUAUUGUAAAAGCUUACAUGAUCUUUUUCCAGCAUGAUGCAUCACCUAAUUAAGAAACUUCGAGAUGUCUUAUACUGUAGUUUUGUAAUUAAUCAAUAUACAUGCAUGAUGCAUCGCCCUGAUGAUGGUUGGAGUUUCAUGAGUUUUAAGUGAAACAAUAUUUGGUGACUAUUUCUUUUGAAAGCUUUACGUCGACCACAAAGGUAAUAUUAAAAACAAAAGUCAAACGUUGAUAUUUAUACUUCUCGGUUGUCGCUAAUCCAAGUCAUAGGCCAUGAUCAGUUACAUGUACCUCCUCAUGAUCUUCAUUUUCCAUUGUUCUUUUUCAAACGGCCAUUUUCACAAAAUUAUUAACGUGAACAUUAAAAGUACUUUAUCCAAGUCAUAGGCCACGUGCAGUUACAUGUACUCCUCAUGUUCUUCAUUUUCCAUUGUUCUUUUUGUUUUUGUUUUUUUCUUUUCAAACGGUCAUUUUCCGUUGUUUUCUUCGAUAUUUACAAAUCGAUCAUACACCUAAGCAAGAAAUCAGUCAUAUAUAGCAAAAUUAACGAUCUUUUUACGAUCCGAUUUAAGCAGUUCAAAUCGAUUUAAGCCGUCAUAUAUCAGUUAAAAUUUGUCCAAAUUAGUCUAAUUCAAUUUAAACGGGUGUAAAUUGGUAAAAUCAAAUAAUAAUAUUAGUGUAAGUCCAAAAAUUUGCAUAAUUUUUUUUUUAAUUUUCAUAUUUAAUUUAAUUUUUAUAAUUCAUUAAAAAUAAUUUUAUAAUUAAACCAAAAAAUUAAAAAAAAUUAACAAUAUAUAAUAAAUAAACAAAUAAUUAGUUUACUUCUCGUCCAUCUAGAUCUCGAAUAAUCCAUUCAAUUUCUAGACCUAUACAAAACGUUUAAACACUAAGUCACUGCCUAACGUUUUAUUUUAUUUUAUUUCUUAAACUAAUAUAUAUCAUAUAUGAACAUUCUCUUAACACAAUUAUUAACAUGAACAUUAAAAGUAUUCUGUUUUCAUAUUUAAAAUAUAUGGCAUUUUAAUCCAAUUAUGAAGUUUGGGUUACUCAUAUAUUCAUUGUUAUGAAAUAAAAAAAAAAGAAGAUAUUGGAAAAUAAAGAAUAUCUUAUCUUUUUAUACUGUUUAAAUAUAUGUAUAUUCAAGCUGUAAAAUUUUUAAAAUACCAAUUAUAUAAAUAUUUAUUAUAUAAAUAAUGAUUGAUUUUAUAGAAAAAAUAGUUCCACUUUUGAAAUAUAUAGAAAUUUAGAUAGAAUUAAAUUAAAUUAAAUAUUGUUGAUGGAUAUAUAAUUUAUUUUAAAACAUCGAGUGGUUUUUUUCUAAUAAUCAGAAUUUAUAACCAAGGAUAUCAGACUUUGUAGUCACAUUUUUAUUAAUAUAAUAAAAGUAUUUUUAACAAUUUUAUUUCCUAAUUUCCAAUCUUUAUUACAUAAAGUAGAAGGGGAUUCUCUUCUCCUUAAGCCAUGUCACUAAAUAGGUUUACUACAAAGCGACACGUGUCCAAGCACUUAAACGCAGCGCGUUAUUUAAUCUGUGUUUUAUAGGAUGCGUUUUUUUGUUGGGCCUUACCAUGCAGCCCAUACGUGAUGCAAGACAAGAUCGUACCAUACGCAACAUUUUAGAUUAGGUUCACGGGAGUGCUUCAUAGCGUCUCCAGAUUGAAUGGCUUCUCCCAUUGCGGAGCUGACCUUCCGUCUCCUUCAUCGCACAAAAACUCAAUAACCGAUCAAUCAAUCAUCUUUAAUCCCCCCCUCCCACUAAUCUAUCACACACGAUCUGGAUUCAAUGCGAUAUUUUUGAUGUGCAAGGCGUUUGAGAUGACUAUAAGAAGGUAUCUUUCGUUCUUCACAGAUACUACAUCACUUUCUUUCUAAACUCAUCAGAAAAAAUACAGUGCUAUGGCUAACGUUUUGGUUCUACUCUCCGAUCUCCAGUCCGGUCGUUCCUCCUCCAUCGUCGAAGUGCGCUUGCUCCGCUUCUGAGAGGCCAGAAACGUCCGCCGUGGUGGAGAACUCAUGGGCGUCGUCAUGCUCUUGCUCGACUCUCAGGUUAUGUUUUACAUCCGCCAUUGGUUUUGGUUUUUCCGAUUGAAGCUGUACACGUACCCGCCAUCUUGAAUCCAUAUUAAAACACGCCGAUCAAAUUUUUAGUUCUUGCUGAUUAUGGUCUAGAUAUUUAAUUAAUCGGUUCACAUCUUUACACAACUUCACUGCCUUGAGUUUAAAUUUGUUAGAUUUAUUAAUGUAAGAUUUUAUUUUCAGUAUAAUGUAUGCCUCAUCUGCUUUGCUCUUUGAUUUUAAGGCUGGCUGUUGUUCUUCCAUGGUGGAGGUGCGGCUGCUCAGAUUAUGGAAAGCAAGAAACGAGUAAUUUCCAGAGCUUUACCGCCACUGUCGCCGUGUUACUGACGUCGUAGCUCUGAAUUAGCCUAACGGAGAAACAGAGGAAUACUAACGGCAACAGGGAUUCCGGCGGACUAACAAAAGCAACCAUAGAGAGGCGGAGACCGAUGACGAGAUUAGCGGUGAAACUUUUGAGAGAUCAUAAAGUAAACCUUCAUGAGAAUCAGAUAGAAAGGUAGUUGGUGAAGAAGAGAAGUAAGUUAUGUCGAUUGGUAAUGAUAGUGGUCUCUCUAACAACUGGCUGCACAUGAAAAGAUGGAGAGAUACUGCUCCUUUCCCUUAAAGGAUAAAGCUUUCUCUACGGUUAUGAUGUUUACGAUGAUCAUUUAUGCAUAGUUAUGGUUUAAUAUUUUUAGUUUAUCCUCAUUAAGGUGAUGACUACUACUUAACAGGGUAUGUGAACGAGCGACUAUAGGCAGCUUCUUCGCCACAUAAACCAAAAAUCGGUGUUGUUCUCUCCAGAGGUCAAG